rnacentral:rRNA from 1 species
CAGCAGCCGCGGUAACACGGAGGGGGCUAGCGUUGUUCGGAAUUACUGGGCGUAAAGCGCACGUAGGCGGAUCGAUCAGUCAGGGGUGAAAUCCCAGAGCUCAACUCUGGAACUGCCUUUGAUACUGUCGAUCUGGGGUAUGGAAGAGGUGAGUGGAAUUCCGAGUGUAGAGGUGAAAUUCGUAGAUAUUCGGAGGAGCACCAGUGGCGAAGGCGGCUUACUGGUCCAUUACUGACGCUGAGGUGCGAAAGCGUGGGGAGCAAACAGGAUUAGAUACCCCUGUAGUCCCUGUCUCUUAUAC